AGUGAACGCUGGCGGUAGGCCUAACACAUGCAAGUCGAACGGCAGCACAGUAAGAGCUUGCUCUUACGGGUGGCGAGUGGCGGACGUGUGAGGAAUACAUCGUAAUCUACUUUUUCGUGGGGGAUAACGUAGGGAAACUUACGCUAAUACCGCAUACGACCUACGGGUGAAAGCAGGGGAUCUUCGGACCUUGCGCGAUUGAAUGAGCCGAUGUCGGAUUAGCUAGUUGGCGGGGUAAAGGCCCACCAAGGCGACGAUCCGUAGCUGGUCUGAGAGGAUGAUCAGCCACACUGGAACUGAGACAGGGUCCAGACUCCUACGGGAGGCAGCAGUGGGGAAUAUUGGACAAUGGGCGCAAGCCUGAUCCAGCCAUACCGCGUGGGUGAAGAAGGCCUUCGGGUUGUAAAGCCCUUUUGUUGGGAAAGAAAAGCAGCAGGUUAAUACCACGCUGUUCUGACGGUACCCAAAGAAUAAGCACCGGCUAACUUCGUG
rnacentral:rRNA from 1 species